rnacentral:tRNA from 1 species
GUCCGUGUAGCUCAGCUGGUUUGGGCCGGUUUUGCUUAAAGCCUAGCUCAUGGGUUCGAAUCCCAGCCGCGCACU